rnacentral:rRNA from 1 species
UUUGAACGCUGGCGGCAGGCCUAACACAUGCAAGUCGAGCGGAUGAGAAGAGCUUGCUCUUCGAUUCAGCGGCGGACGGGUGAGUAAUGCCUAGGAAUCUGCCUGGUAGUGGGGGACAACGUCUCGAAAGGGACGCUAAUACCGCAUACGUCCUACGGGAGAAAGCAGGGGACCUUCGGGCCUUGCGCUAUCAGAUGAGCCUAGGUCGGAUUAGCUUGUUGGUGAGGUAAUGGCUCACCAAGGCGACGAUCCGUAACUGGUCUGAGAGGAUGCUCAGUCACACUGGAACUGAGACACGGUCCAGGCUCCUACGGGCGGCAGCAGUGGGGAAUAUUGGACAACGGGCGAAAGCCUGAUCCAGCCAAGCCGCGUGUGUGAAGAAGGUCUUCGGAUUGUAAAGCACUUUAAGUUGGGAGGAAGGGCAGUCAGCGUAUACCUGGUUGUUUUGACGUUACCGACAGAAUAAGCACCGGCUAACUCUGUGCCAGCCGCCGCGGUAA